GGCUUGACUUAAACUGAGAACUUUACAUCCACUUUGCAUCAUGGGACAUGAUGGCCUGUAGAAAUCUGGUUUUAUUUUCCAUCAUGUAGGUUGGCUUUAGUGGUUUUUUGUUUUUCUUUUCCUCUACUUGAAACAUUGAUAUUUGGCUUAAAGCUGGUAGCAAGACUUUUGAUACUUUUAUGCAUCUUAAAUUACAUCACAAGAAAGUAACUCCUGUCAUAAAUAUUGAGUAGGCAUAGUUGAAUACUUUAUUCAUCUUGGCUGGGGAAGAGCUGGUAAAAGAUUUGUCUGUCACAAUAUGUAGACAGUAGAUACAAAUAAUCUCACAUCAGUAUCUUUGAUGUGUUUUUAAAGUGAUGUGUGUCAAUUGGCUGUAUAAAAUAUAAUUGGGACCAAAUUAAAUUAAAAUACUCACUGAAAACCUUUUCUGGGAGAUGAGUACUGGGUCAAAGACUAUACUUGCACUUCCCAUAUUCUGACAGUUUUAUGUGGGACCUGGUUUACCAGUACUUUAAAAAUGCUGCCAGUCAUCAACUUGUUCUUUGGAGUGAAAAAGUAUUGGAUAGAUCAAGGGAAUCUGUUUAGGGACUUCUAUAAGAGGAUGAAAGACAUGAAAAGGGAGAUUAUGUUGAUGGUGGACAGGCAGGACUGGGUUGUGAAUAUAUGCGAGUUUGAUAAUGACAAAAUAAAGAAUCAUAGAAUUAUAGAAUCAUAGAACCAAUGAGGCUGGAAAAGUUCUUUGUGAUCGUCAAAUGAAACCAUUAGCCCAGCACUGCUGAAUCCACUGCUGUCCCCACCAUCCUUCAAAGAAUGGUGACUCAACCACUUCCCUGGGCAGCCUUUUUCAAUUCUAGACCACCCCAUGUAGAUCAAAUGAAAAUACCACACUCAGCAGUUAGGAAGUACACUCAAACACUUCUAAAAGAGCAUUUGGAACUUUCCCAAGCAGUCUAAAUUUCAAAACCUGAAAAUAUGUACAAAUGGAGAGGUGAAAGUGGGGAGUAGACUUCCUUCAUUUUAUUCCAUGUUUUGUUCAUUUAAUUCCUCCUCAUCUGGGAGGGUUUGCACAUCUGGGGAUAAAAUGCAGUAUUAUUUAAGAAGGACCAAAAAAUGGGGAGUAUAGAAUCCUUUCAAAUUUGUUCCUGGCUUGAUGUAAUCUAUAUCUGACUUUCUAGUUUUGUACACAGUAGAAUGUGAAUGUGACACAGAAUUACCGCUCAAUGCAUGGUAAUUCCACUUUCAUUCCACUUUCAGAGUAAAGUGGUGGGCACCUUAUCUCUAGAGGUAUCUCUCCCAGAAGAAAACUGGACACACAACCACACUAUCAGCAUUCAAAAGCAUUUUUUUCCUUUUUCCCUCAACAGGAAACUUACAAUUCUGGCAGAUUAGAUUAAAUGGCAGUUUGCCCUGCUUGAAGAAAAAUAGAUGAGAAAAAACAAUAUCUACAGGAAAUUAUAAUGAAUUACAAGCUGAAGGAAAAAAAAUACUCUGGCUGAAAGUUAAACUCUCAUCUCAGUUUCUUGUGUUUUCUCAGAGAAAUUUCUCUGAGAUAGACUUUGAAAGUAAAUUAUGUCACUUCUGUAGUUUUCACUUCUUCAUUUGGAAAUAUGUAAGAAAUUUGCAUUUUCAUAAGUAAUCAACAUUUUCAAGUAAUCAGUUUGAUGGAUUGAGUUUUCCAAAUGUGAUGGUGAGCAUCCACUUGAAAACCAAAAGCAUGCCAAAAAUGAAGAUACCUAAAAGAGACUCUUUCAUAUUAAAGUCUAGUUAAUUUGAGUUAUAAAAUUAUAAAAUUUUAGCAUCAAUUCUGCUUUGGUGAUCAUUUGCACAGUACAGUUAUUUACAGCAGUGUGGUGCAAAUGCAUAGCUAGUAAUGAAUCAGCAUCCUUUUGAGUCAGCAGAAUUAACAGUGGUUUCAAAUAUCCUAAAAUCCUUUUAUUCAGAGAGUGAUGGAAAGACAGGAGGAAAAAAAUUACAUUUGAAAUCUAUAAAAUGGGAUUUGUUUUUAACUUCUUUAUAGGUACAUUUUUGCUCACUUGUGCAUUUGUUUUGGAGCACAUUUGAUGAGAAUAGGCAAAGUGAGAAGAGUUCAAUUCAUCAGAGCAGAAGCCAUUUCACUGGGUCUUACCUGCUCUCAGUCUUGAUUUCACUUUGCAACAGAAAAAAUGAAAUUCUCAGAUCCAGAGAGGAUUUAGUGAAAAACAUUUGUUUGGAUUCUAGUUUACUGCAUCUCAAUAUGAAUCACACAAGCAGGGUCUUGGAGCCAAAGUUUUCAGUCCCAGCUGAUGACCCUGCUUGUUUCAGAUAUUAUUUUCCUGAUAGAUCUUUCUCCUACUCAUUGUGUACAAAGAUACACACAGAUUGUGUGUGUUAGAAAUAUAUAUAUAUUUUUUUUAUAAAAAUAGACAUAUUUUUCCCCUGGAAGCUUUGUGUAAACUAAAUCAGUGAAAGAGUAAUGGAAUUAUUUCUGCUACUUUUAGUAACAAAUAAACCCUAACAGCUUAAAAAACAGAAGGAAGGUAAAAAGGCAAUUUUAUUUUUAAUAUUUUUAAAAUUAGAUUUUAAAAUUUUGAAAAUUCAUAAUACUGGCAAGUUUUCUCCUCAGUGCAUAUGGAUUUUUCAUGCCCAUAUUGUCUCAACUACAGAUAUUGUCAGUUCCAAGUAAAAGGCUGUGUCACAUCCAAAUGGAUUAUGGGUUUUCAUGUUUUACUCACCUCUCAGUUUUCCAUGGCAAUUUGGCCUGCCAGGGCAUGAGGUUUACAAUACUUUAAAAAUAUUAAAUAGGGCAUGCUAGCACAGUACAUCUCCAGAGCCAUACAGGCAGCACUCUGCUCUGCACUGCCUUUUGUUAGAAAAGGAAUGAAGUUCAAGGUCUUGCAUGUUCUCUUCAAAGUACUCCCGCUCUUGGCUUAGGAUACUUAAGGAAAAAAAAUCACCUAAAUCUUUGAGUUGAAGAAUUUGGAUGACAGUUUUAGUCCCUUGGUGCAAGGAGCUGUCUGCAGGUACAGGAGAGCAAAUGAGAGAAAAAUGGAAUAUUUUCAGGGGGCAGUCCAAGGCUGAGAAGUAAUUCACUUCAGGAACUCGGAACUGUCAUAAGUGUCACCACUUCUCACUCUAAGUGCUUUCUCUAACAAUACCUGGCAACUUGCAUCUGAAGAAAAGGAGAACACAAAGCAAAAUAAGUCACAUCAUUACAGUGGAAUUACUCAGUACUACCAGAGCAGAAGAGCAGUGGCUGUGAAAAGCUGUCAACACAUAUUUGGUGUUCUUUGGCUGUAGCACAUAAAGGGAAGAGAGUUGGAAAAGUGCACGCUGGUUCCAGAGCCAUUUAAUGGAAGAAAAGCAACCUAGAUGGAUGGAAAGGUAUGUGAAGGUCUCAUGUUAUAUGGAUGGUGAAGAUCCUGAAGGACUCUAGGAGGUCUGUGGUAUCUGUCUAGGGAAAGGAGCAGCAGGAGAAAGUCACAGCUCUGUUGAAUCAGAUCAAAGUUCUGUCUUGUCUUGAAAUGUUCCUUACCAGCAGGAAAUGCCUGUGGAAGUGCAUAAGAGCAGAGGAAAUGUACGUGCCAUCUUCCCUUCUCCCUCCCCUAUUAUAUACACUUCCUCAGCUUCCAGCAGUCUGUGAAUGAUGGAUAAUUGAGAACAUAGAAGAAAGAAUCUGCUAUAUAUGGAUGUGCUCAACUGCAAGUAAUGUUCACAGUUUAGAUUUCUGAAGAUUUUGGAAGCAAUUCCUGAAAUGAAAAAAAAAAAAGGGAAAAAAAAACCCCAAAUGUGCAACUCAUCACAUUUCAUGAAUUAAAUUUUGAAGAAGCAUUCUUGUACCAAACAUGGCAUAUUUUUCUAACAUUUAAAAAUGUUUUGAUUCUGCAAUGAUCAUUUAUAUGUCUUAACCAUCAAAAACCCUAUAAAAUCAGUAGG